rnacentral:rRNA from 1 species
CCUACGGGUGGCAGCAGUCGAGAAUCAUGCACAAUGGGGGAAACCCUGAUGGAGCGACGCCGCGUGGGGGAAUGAAGGUCUUCGGAUUGUAAACUCCUGUCAUGUGGGAGCAAAUUAAAAAGAUAGUACCACAAGAGGAAGAGACGGCUAACUCCGUGCCAGCAGCCGCGGGAAUACAGAGGGCUCAAGCGUUGUUCGGAAUCACUGGGCGUAAAGCGUGCGUAGGCGGGUUCGUAAGUCGUGUGUGAAAGGCGCGGGCUCAACCCGCGGACGGCACAUGAUACUGCGAGACUAGAGUAAUGGAGGGGGAACCGGAAUUCUCGGUGUAGCAGUGAAAUGCGUAGAUAUCGGGAGGAACACUCGUGGCGAAGGCGGGUUCCUGGACAUUAACUGACGCUGAGGCACGAAGGCCAGGGGAGCGAUAAGGAUUAGAUACCCUUGUAGUC